GCCAGGUGUGGUGGCUCAAGCCUGCAAUCCCAGUAGCUCGGGAGGCUGAGGCAGGAGGAUCGUGAGUUCAAAGCCAGCCUCAGCAACGGCAAGGCCCUAAGCAACUCAGUGAGACCCUGUCUCUA
rnacentral:sRNA from 1 species